AACGAACGCUGGCGGCGUGCCUAAGACAUGCAAGUCGUGCGGAAAGGCUCCUUCGGGAGUACUCGAGCGGCGCACGGGUGAGUAACACGUGGGUAAUCUACCUGAGGGUCUGGGAUAACUCCGGGAAACUGGGGCUAAUACCGGAUGAGACCACGGCGUCUUCGGAUGCAGCGGUCAAAGAUGGCCUCUCCUUGGAAGCUAUCGCCCGCAGAUGAGCCCGCGUCCCAUUAGCUAGUUGGCGGGGUAACGGCCCACCAAGGCGACGAUGGGUAGCUGGUCUGAGAGGAUGAUCAGCCACACUGGAACUGAGACACGGUCCAGACUCCUACGGGAGGCAGCAGUCGGGAAUUUUGGGCAAUGGGCGAAAGCCUGACCCAGCAACGCCGCGUGAGGGAUGAAGGCCUUCGGGUCGUAAACCUCUGUCGGGAGGGACGAAAGGUCGGCGGUCGAAUAGGCCGAAGGCUUGACGGUACCUCUAGAGGAAGCGCCGGCUAACUCCGUGC
rnacentral:rRNA from 1 species